GACGAACGCUGGCGGCGUGCUUAACACAUGCAAGUCGAACGAAGUGGCGAACGGGUGAGUAAUACGUGGGUAACUGCCCUCCUUUUUGGGAUAUGCCUUGGAAACGGGGUCUAAUACCGACUAGUGGGGGAUGACUCGCGUCCUAUCAGCUUGUUGGUGGGGUAGUGGCCUACCAAGGCGACGACGGGUAGCCGGCCUGGGAGGGCGACCGGCCACAUUGGGCUGAGAUACGGCCCAAACUCCUACGGGAGGCAGCAGUGGGGAAUAUUGCACAAGGGGGGAAACCCUGAUGCAGCAACGCCGCGUGCGGGAUGACGGCCUUCGGGGUGUAAACCGCUUUCAGCCAUGACGCGGUAUCUAACCAGAAAGCCACGGCUAACUACGUGCCAGCAGCCGCGGUAAUAC
rnacentral:rRNA from 1 species